GGGCAGUUCCAAUUACCGCGGAGAAUUUUCUGAAUUAGCGGGGUUACACAAAGGACACUCAUUGAGGGGGAAGGAAAAAAGGGCAGCGAGCGCGAGAGGGAACGCCCAGCCGGAGCCUGCUGGUGAUUUAAAGCAGGAAACUCCCUCGCCUCACACAGACACGGCCGCAUUCAGGACCAGCCAGCAUCUAAAUAGGAGGAAUGUCUGGCACACAUUACGUUAAUCCGAGCGCUGCAGCCAUCGGCAGCGCUCUCUGCCCCCACCGGGGCGCACGAUGAAUCGCUUCAAAAUAGAGAUGAAUGGCACAUAAGGAACGGCUUCUGCCUUACGUGCAACACUAAAGCCCUCACCUGCCCAGCCCUCACCUGCCCGUAUAUCCGUACAGCACACAGGUCAAGCUGUGAGCGCUGUGCUUCAGCUUUCUUUUUGCACCCCGAAGACACGCACGUGGCCACGCGAGGCAGCAGGAAACACCAUGAGGCACAACCGGAAGGACUGCGGGGCUGCUUGCCACGGCCACACCAAUCCCAACUUCUGGGCAGGAAACGUAUGCCAUGGCAAAGCACUGAAGAUGACUCAAAUCGCCUCUCCCCCACCCUCCGGUGCCACGGAACAACAGCCCUCUUCAGCCAGGGGAGCGGGACCACGUGGAGGGAUGACUCAAAGCUCUGGGGUAGGGGAAAAACCCACAGUGCAGAACACACAGCACCCCAUCCCAAGAGGCGCACCACCACUUGAUGUUAUAUUAAUUAAACACACAACAA